CAUAGGUUUGGUCCUAGCCUUUCUAUUAGUUAUUAGUAAACUUACACAUGCAAGAAUCCCCACUCCAGUGAGAAUGCCCUCAACACCUUCCAACGGUAAAAGGAGCUGGCAUCAAGCACGCUACAGAGCAGCUCAUAACGCCUCGCUUAGCCACACCCCCACGGGAAACAGCAGUGAUAAAAAUUAAGCAAUAGACGAAAGUCUGACUAAGUUAUACUAUUUAGAACUGGUAAAUCUCGUGCCAGCCACCGCGGUCAUACGAUUAGAUCAAACUAAUAGACACUCGGCGUAAAGUGUGCUUUAGAGAAAAUGAUAAUAAAAUCAAAUUUUAACUAAGCUGUAAAAAGCCCUAGCUAAUGUAAGAUACAUAACGAAAGUGAUUUUAAAAAAUCUGACUGCACGAUAGCUAAGACUCAAACUGGGAUUAGAUACCCCACUAUGCUUAGCCCUAAAUAUAAAAAAUUAUAAACAAAAUUAUUCGCCAGAGUACUACUAGCAACAGCUUAAAACUCAAAGGACUUGGCGGUGCCUUACAUCCCUCUAGAGGAGCCUGUUCUGUAAUCGAUAAACCCCGAUAUACCUCACCAAUCUUUGCUAAAUCAGCCUAUAUACCGCCAUCUUCAGCAAACCCUAAAAAGGAAUCAAAGUAAGCACAAGUAUUAACAUAAAAACGUUAGGUCAAGGUGUAGCUUAUAGAUUGGAAAGAAAUGGGCUACAUUCCCCAAAUACUGGGGAAUAAAACUUCAUACGAAAACCUAUGUGAAAUCAAAAGUCAAAGGUGGAUUUAGUAGUAAAUUAAGAAUAGAGAGCUUAAUUGAACAAGGCCAUAAGGCACGCACACACCGCCCGUCACCCUCCUCAAAUAAAAAUAUUAAACAUAUACUUAAGUACCCAAUAAAUAUUAAUCUAUGAGAGGAGACAAGUCGUAACAAGGUAAGUGUACUGGAAAGUGCACUUGGAUAAC
rnacentral:ncRNA from 1 species